AUUACUUUUUUAUUUUUUAUUUUUUUCAAAUGAAUGAUAUUAUCCUAAUGAAAUGUGAAAUAAAAUGAUCGAUUUUGAAUGUUCUGUCCACUUGACUGUUUUCGUUGUUACUUUAAGGAGCGAAUUCGAAAGUAAAACUAUAGCUGCAUAACUUGACAUUUGUCUGGCGAAGUUGGACGUGUUAAUACAGGCUAUUGCUGAGGUAAUUAAUCGACAAGACUGGGCUUUGUACUCUGUGAAUUUCCUCCGUGUACCAGAAGGAAAGGCGACUUUCAUCUGAGAUAUAUAUAGGCUCUCUUCAAGUUUUUGAGCAACAAGAUGCAGUGGAGUAUUAUCGGAAGAUUCUGAAAGCAGUGAAGACCCAUGCCAAGGCAUUCGAAGGGAAAAUGAGAAACAUAACAAAAUGCUUUAAAUGUAGCAAGGAAACCAGAGAAACCAACAUCUUCAUCUCAAUAUUUCUGCCUGUUGAUGUUGGAAAUGAUGAGACGUAUGAUGUGGAAAAUGGUCUGAAAACCUUCUUGAAGCAUUCAAAACUAGAAGAGGAUGACUCGCUGUAAAUGAAAAUUUAAACAUCCAUCACCCAUUCAGAUGACCGUUCUAUGAACCUGUCAAAAAAGGAAAGUAUGAGUUUUCAACAUGUGCUUAAAAUGUGCUUUUUUUGCCUUGCAAUUUUCCAACUCUUGCAGUGGUAUGAAACAGAUGAAUAUCCCUCUGUUCUUACUCUGCAUCUGAAGAGAUUUGACUUUGAUUACAUACAGAUGAGCUACAAGAAGAAUGAAUGUCAUCUGGAUGUACCCUCCUCUCAGUCUACCUCCAAGUACCUCCAGUGAGGUAUCAUUAAUAAAUCAUCAUACCAAAGGAUAAUUGGCCUAAAUAUGAUCUUUAUGCUGUUAUCAACCAUAAGGGUGGAUACACUGGUGGACACUACGAUGCAAUCAUCAGAUCUUAUGAAAAUUAAAUAUGGUACCUUUUUUGAUGACUGCACUGUAACAUAGCUCCAAUCUACCAUACAUGCUGAUGUACAGAAAAGGGCCUUCCAGAUCUGGGAAAAGUGCAGUAGACAACAUCAACCUUGGUGGACAUAACUUUCCUUGUGAAAGUGGAUCAGAGACUGUGACCAAAGAGUCCAUGGCAAAGACAGUGGAAAAGAUCGCUGUAGUGGACACUCCAAAUCUCUUUCCCCUCAAAGAAUUGAGUUGGAGAAAGGAAAUGGAAAGAUGCCUUGAGUUAUGUGGCACUGGCCCCAAUGUGAUUCUUUGGGUCACACCGAUAUGUAAAUAUAGCGAUCAACAACAAGGUCUUUUCCACACCUUCAGAAAACGACUAAAUUCAGGAACCACAAAACAUAUGAUGAUUAUCUUCACAAAUGGGAGAAAGCUUUAUUUACAUUACAUUACAUUUCAGAACACCACAAACUUGGUUAAGUGGUCCGUAGUUGUCAGAACAGUCAUUGACAUUACUUUUGGUAACAAUUACACUCCAGAACUGCUUAAACAAAAAACUUGGUGACAGAGUAUAGUGCAAUUUCAAAAAGAGAAUUAAAGCACUGUAUUAGAUGAAGAAGAAGACAAAAAUCCAUAAAACAUUAAAAAGAUCAAACGUCUUGAGUCUUACAGACAAAAUUACCUAAAAAAAUUGA